rnacentral:rRNA from 1 species
GACGAACGCUGGCGGCGUGCCUAAUACAUGCAAGUUGAGCGCUGAAGGUUGGUACUUGUACCAACUGGAUGAGCAGCGAACGGGUGAGUAACGCGUGGGGAAUCUGCCUUUGAGCGGGGGACAACAUUUGGAAACGAAUGCUAAUACCGCAUAAAAACUUUAAACACAAGUUUUAAGUUUGAAAGAUGCAAUUGCAUCACUCAAAGAUGAUCCCGCGUUGUAUUAGCUAGUUGGUGAGGUAAAGGCUCACAAAGGCGAUGAUACAUAGCCGACCUGAGAGGGUGAUCGGCCACAUUGGGACUGAGACACGGCCCAAACUCCUACGGGAGGCAGCAGUAGGGAAUCUUCGGCAAUGGACGAAAGUCUGACCGAGCAACGCCGCGUGAGUGAAGAAGGUUUUCGGAUCGUAAAACUCUGUUGGUAGAGAAGAACGUUGGGGGGAGUGGAAAGCUCAUCAAGUGACGGUAACUACCCAGAAAGGGACGGCUAACUACGUG